CGGGGUAUAGCGCAGUUUGGUAGCGCGCUUGCAUGGGGUGUAAGAGGUCGUCGGUUCAACUCCGGCUACCCCGA
rnacentral:tRNA from 1 species